GUACUGAUCUCGGGUAGCUUCCAAGUCUUGUUUCCAAGCACAAUCAUUUCCAGAAUUAUUGCUUCCAUUUGCCUCCUCAAACUGCUUUGCUCGAGCCUUGGCAACUUCAGAAUCCUUGAUGGCUGAUUCUUUCGAUUCCCUCAGUAAUUGCAGCUUCUUGGUCAGGUCAUCAACCGCUCUUUUAGUAUUUUCAAGCUCAACAAGCGCUUGAGAUUU
rnacentral:misc_RNA from 1 species